AUAUAUAAAGAGUUUGGGAUGUAGCUCAGUGGUAGGGUACCUCUGGGUUCAAUCCUCAGUAACACACACCCACAGAAAAACAAGAAAGCAUGCAUUAGAAACAGAAAUACCAGCACACAACCAUUUCUAGAUUAAAUAAGAAAUUUGAGCACAGGUUAUUGAUAUACUCACUAAUCAAGAAAAAAUGUAGGGAAAAGACAUGUAGAAAAACAUGGGUAUUUGAAAAUCAAUGUAUAUUAUAUCAUCAAAAGGAAAAACAACUGAGAAGAAAGUCCUUGAUACUCCUUGGUGAUGGGGAUUGAGUCUCUUCACAAUCACUUACCAAAUACCUAGCAUGACAUUUAGGAACUCAAUACAUUUUUGUAAAAUAAACAUGUAGUUAGUUUUUACCCUGCCUUGUUCCCCAAAAAGAAUAUUUGAGAAAAAUUUUUAUUGACUGAAUUAAUAAACAAUGGUGCAACUUUUUAUAUAUACUUACUUACAUGAUCACUUUUUCAGAUAAAAAAAUGAAGUACAAAAUAUUUUACUGACGCUAUGGAGUGAAAGAACUGCCUGUGAAAUGGAAAUUCACUGUGUGAUGAAUCUGCACAUUACUAAAGACAUCAGAUUUUCAACUGUGAACUGUGUUCCAUGGAUAAAAAGACAACGUUUCUAGGCUUGUGUUUACAAAUUCAUCUAGUCUGAGUGGCCUCAGCCCUGUCAGUUAUUUCACUAAUGCUAUCCAAAAGGAAAAAGACAAAUGAGAAGAGCCACUUUAUGCCAAAGGAGAAGAUGCCUUAUUAUGACCUUAUGUUGACUUCCAGGAUUAUUUCAAGAAGUUAAAGAAGGCUUCUCUCCAGAAGAUCAUUUAAAAAAAAAAAAAAACCAAAAAACAGACUUUUAUAAUAUAGUAACCUCUAUUUGGUUGCCUUCCAAGGCUUCAGGAAGAUGAGUAAAGACAUACUGAAUAAACAAGC